rnacentral:misc_RNA from 1 species
UCAGGGUACAGCCCAGUA